rnacentral:sRNA from 1 species
UAGAUGCGGCAGAGACAGGAAUGAAGCCAAGGCUGCAGAGGCAGGAGGUGGGAGGG